GAUGAACGCUGGCGGCGUGCCUAAUACAUGCAAGUCGAGCGAACAGAUGAGGAGCUUGCUCCUCUGACGUUAGCGGCGGACGGGUGAGUAACACGUGGAUCAUCUCCCUAUAAGACUGGGAUCACUUCGGGACACCGGAGCUAAUACCGGAUAAUCUACUGAUCCGCAUGGUUCAAUAGUGAAAGACGGCUUUGCUGUCACUUCUAGCUGGAUCCGGGCCGCAUUAGCUAGUUGGUAAGGUAACGGCCUACCAAGGCAAGGAUGCGUAAGCGACGGAACGGGCGGAUCGGCCACAUGAGAGCGGAGACAGCGACAAGACUACUACGGGAGGCAGCAGUAGGGAAUCGGCCGCAGUGGGGGGGAGCCUGGCGGAGCAACGGCGCGUGUGUGAUGGAGGUCUUCGGAUCGUGAAGCUCGGUUAUGAGUGAAGAACAGAUGUGUAAGGAACUAUGCACGUCUUGACGGUACCUGAUCAGAAAGCCACGGCUAACUACGUG
rnacentral:rRNA from 1 species